ensembl:lncRNA
CCCCAACCGACACCCACCCAGUUUACCUACAGUCAGAACAAUAUUUCAAUCUUCUGAAACCAAAUGGCUGUCAAUCAAUUGAAUGAUGUCCGGGAGCAGUUUGUCAGCCUGGUGACAGAGGCUAAUAUCAAGGCUCUACUAGACAGACUUCAGCAUCCACAUGAAGGCAGAAGAUUUAUCAACAAGUUCGAGGCAGAAGAGACCCCUCCAGCCAGAUAUUGAACACACCGGCACAUGUCCUCACAAGCCAAAGGGCACUAGGUCAGUACUACUUACCCAUUUCACUUCUCCUAGGCCAGCUCAAUUUCAAAUAGAAUAGCCCUGUUUACAUAGAUAUAGCACUGCUAUGCCUGUUUAUACUGUUUAUAUGAAAAAUGUGAUAAAAAAACGUGAUCUACUUUAUCAAACACUGUAUAAUGCUCAGUAAAUUCUGUUGGUAUAUCAUAAUAUUUACAAAAUGCACAAUAAUUUGCUAUUUUGUUCGGGG